GCAAGUCGAGCGGUAGAGAGGUGCUUGCACCUCUUGAGAGCGGCGGACGGGUGAGUAAUGCCUAGGAAUCUGCCUGGUAGUGGGGGAUAACGCUCGGAAACGGACGCUAAUACCGCAUACGUCCUACGGGAGAAAGCAGGGGACCUUCGGGCCUUGCGCUAUCAGAUGAGCCUAGGUCGGAUUAGCUAGUUGGUGAGGUAAUGGCUCACCAAGGCGACGAUCCGUAACUGGUCUGAGAGGAUGAUCAGUCACACUGGAACUGAGACACGGUCCAGACUCCUACGGGAGGCAGCAGUGGGGAAUAUUGGACAAUGGGCGAAAGCCUGAUCCAGCCAUGCCGCGUGUGUGAAGAAGGUCUUCGGAUUGUAAAGCACUUUAAGUUGGGAGGAAGGGCAUUAACCUAAUACGUUAGUGUUUUGACGUUACCGACAGAAUAAGCACCGGCUAACUCUGUGCCAGCAGCCGCGGUAAUACAGAGGGUGCAAGCGUUAAUCGGAAUUACUGGGCGUAAAGCGCGCGUAGGUGGUUCGUUAAGUUGGAUGUGAAAUCCCCGGGCUCAACCUGGGAACUGCAUUCAAAACUGUCGAGCUAGAGUAUGGUAGAGGGUGGUGGAAUUUCCUGUGUAGCGGUGAAAUGCGUAGAUAUAGGAAGGAACACCAGUGGCGAAGGCGACCACCUGGACUGAUACUGACACUGAGGUGCGAAAGCGUGGGGAGCAAACAGGAUUAGAUACCCUGGUAGUCCACGCCGUAAACGAUGUCAACUAGCCGUUGGGAGCCUUGAGCUCUUAGUGGCGCAGCUAACGCAUUAAGUUGACCGCCUGGGGAGUACGGCCGCAAGGUUAAAACUCAAAUGAAUUGACGGGGGCC
rnacentral:rRNA from 1 species